UUAAAAAUAAACAUUUUUGUAACUGUGUG
rnacentral:piRNA from 1 species